rnacentral:rRNA from 1 species
UGGAAUGAUGAUGUCCAGAAGGCGCUUAAAGAGAAGAAAGAUUGCUUCAGACGCCUAUACCUGGAUAGGAGUGCAGACAACAUAGAGAAGUACAAGAUGGCGAAGAAGGCCGCAAAGCGAGCUGUUGGUGAAGCAAGGGGUCGGGCAUAUGAGGACCUCUACCAACGGUUAGGCACGAAGGAAGGUGAAAGGGACAUCUAUAAGAUGGCUAAGAUCCAGGAGAGGAAGACGAGGGAUAUUGGCCAAGUCAAAUGCAUCAAGGACGGAGCAGGCCAACUCUUGGUGAAGGACGAAGAGAUUAAGCAUAGAUGG